rnacentral:rRNA from 1 species
GCUCAGGAUGAACGCUGGCGGCGUGCCUAAUACAUGCAAGUCGAACGAGGUGCUUUUGUAGCAAUACGAAGGUAUCCUAGUGGCGAACGGGUGAGUAACGCGUUGGUGACCUGCCCCAGAGUGUGGGAUAACAGUCCGAAAGGAUUGCUAAUACCGCAUGUGGUCAUCGGGUUUAGAAGCCGGUGACUAAAGCCGCAAGGCGCUUUGGGAGGGGCCUGCGUCCCAUCAGCUAGUUGGUAGGGUAACGGUCUACCAAGGCGACGACGGGUAGGGGACCUGAGAGGGUGACCCCCCACAAUGGAACUGAAACACGGUCCAUACACCUACGGGUGGCAGCAGUAGGGAAUAUUGCUCAAUGGGCGAAAGCCUGAAGCAGCAACGCCGCGUGCGCGAUGAAGGUCUUCGGAUCGUAAAGCGCUUUUCUGCGAGAUGAGAAAGGACAGUAUCGCAGGAAUAAGUCUCGGCUAACUACGUGCCAGCAGCCGCGGUAACACGUAGGAGGCGAGCGUUAUCCGGAUUCACUGGGCGUAAAGCGCGUGCAGGCGGUUCGGUAAGUUGGGCGUGAAAGCUCCCGGCUCAACUGGGAGAGGUCGUCCAAUACUACCGGACUAGAGAACAGAAGAGGAAGAUGGAAUUCCCGGUGUAGUGGUGAAAUGCGUAGAUAUCGGGAGGAACACCAGUGGCGAAGGCGGUCUUCUGGUCUGUUUCUGACGCUCAGACGCGAAAGCUAGGGUAGUAAACGGGAUUAGAGACCCCGGUAAUCCUAGCCGUAAACGAUGUGAACUUGGCGUUGGUGGCUUAAACACCAUCAGUGCCGAAGCAAACGCGAUAAGUUCACCGCCUGGGGACUACGGCCGCAAGGUUA